rnacentral:rRNA from 1 species
AACGAACGCUGGCGGCAUGCCUAACACAUGCAAGUCGAACGAGACCUUCGGGUCUAGUGGCGGACGGGUGAGUAACGCGUGGGAAUCUGCCCUUAGCUUCGGAAUAACUCCCCGAAACGGGUGCUAAUACCGGAUACUGUCUUCGGACCAAAGAUUUAUCGGCUUAGGAUGGGCCCGCGUUGGAUUAGCUAGUUGGUAGGGUAAUAGCCUACCAAGGCGACGAUCCAUAGCUGGUCUGAGAGGAUGAUCAGCACACUGGGACUGAGACACGGCCCAGACUCCUACGGGAGGCAGCAGUGGGGAAUAUUGGACAAUGGGCGAAAGCCUGAUCCAGCAAUGCCGCGUGAGUGAUGAAGGCCUUAGGGUUGUAAAGCUCUUUUACCCGGGAUGAUAAUGACAGUACCGGGAGAAUAAGCUCCGGCUAACUCCGUG